GACGAACGCUGGCGGCGUGCUUAACACAUGCAAGUCGAACGAUGAAGCUAGAGCUUGCUCUGGUGAAUUAGUGGCGAACGGGUGAGUAACACGUGAGUAACCUGCCCCGAACUCUGGGAUAACUGCUGGAAACGGUAGCUAAUACUGGAUACGACCUACGAAGGCAUCUUCUGUAGGUGGAAAGAAUUUCGGUUCGGGAUGGACUCGCGGCCUAUCAGCUUGUUGGUGAGGUAAUGGCUCACCAAGGCGACGACGGGUAGCCGGCCUGAGAGGGGGACCGGCCACACUGGGACAGAGACACGGCCCAGACUCCUACGGGAGGCAGCAGUGGGGAAGAUUGCACAAUGGGCGCAAGCCUGAUGCAGCAACGCCGCGUGAGGGAUGACGGCCUUCGGGUUGUAAACCUCUUUUAGUAGGGAAGAAGCGAAAGUGACGGUACCUGCAGAAAAAGCACCGGCUAACUACGUGCCAGCAGCCGCGGUAA
rnacentral:rRNA from 1 species